AUGUUAUUAAGAAAGGUGGAGAGAUUAGACUCUAUGAUACCUUGGCAACCCUUCGGCAACGGAGAAGGUGCUACAUUCUACCUCGAUAUAUCGGGAGAAGAUAACAG
rnacentral:ncRNA from 2 species